GGUAGAAUUUUACAGAACUGGAAGAGAAUUUAUCACCUUACUCUGGAUUGGGAGGCAGGUGAUCUGGUCUCUGGCUCUGAUUCUGCCACUAACUUGCUGUGUGAAAUUGGAGAAGUCCAGAAUUAUAACGGGGACUUGCUCCAGCUCCAGAUGAAGAUACUGAGGCCUGAGAUAGGGGAAGAAGGAACACUCAAGUUCAUACUGUGAAUGGGUGGCAGAGCAGGGGUUUGAAUCCAGGACUGCCAGAGUGUUUCUUUCCACCACAAGCUUGCUUGCACCCCUCAUCUGGCCCAACAUUUUGCUCUUUGUAUGAAGGAGUCCCAUCUGCUCUCUGAGACCAGGAGUUCCCCUGAGGGCUGGGUCUCAAUCCAAUAUAUUUUUCUGUCUCUCUAGGUGCCAAACUCUGGGGCCUGGUCCAUAGAAUGCUUGCCUGUUGUAGUAGAAAGAACUUUUACUUUAUUUUUUAAAACCCUCACCUUCCAUCUUAGAAUCAAUAAUGGGUAUUGGUUCCAAGGAAGAAGAAUGAUAAGGGCUAGGCAAUGGGGGUCAAGUGACUUGCCCAGGGUCACACAGGUAGGAAGUGUCUGAGGCCAGAUUUGAACCUAGGACCUCCCGUCUUUAGGCCUAGCUCUCAAUCCAUUGAGCCACCCAGCUGCUCCCAGAAAGAGCCUUUAGAUCCAUAUUGGAAUCCUGGCUCUGCUGAUCACUGGUAGUAUGGACCUGGGGCAACUCCUUUCCGUUCUUUGAGCCUCAUUUUGAGGAUAAUAGUGAGAGGAAUGUUUUACGCACUUUAAGCAUUACAGAAAUGUGAGUUAUACUCAAAGAUGAGUUAUUACAAGUUAUGCUCCAAAGAAUCUUGUACUAGGGGUACAGAACUGGGUUCUUGACCUGGAUACACUACUGAGUGAUUGCAUUGUCUUGAGAAAAUACUUCUCAGGGCAGCUAGGAGACUUAGUGGAUAGAGAGCCAUGCCUAGAGAUGGAAGGUCUUGGGUUCAAAUCUAGCCUAGGAUACUUCCUAGCCGUUGAUCCUGGGCAAGUCUCUUAAUCCCAUUUGCCUAGCCCUUUUCCACUCUUCUGCCUUGGAACCAAUAUUUAGUAUCAAUUCUAAAACAGAUAAUAAUGGUUUAAAAGAAAAAAAAUAAAAUGACAUCUUUUCUGAGCUCCAGUUUAGCCAGGAGAAUAAUCUCAGCCUCCUAGGAUAUAGGAGGGAUGAAAUAUAGCAAGCUCCGUGGAAAUUGUAGCUAUUCUUACUACUCUCAUCAUCAGUGGUUACCCAACUGCUCAGGAAUUGGCCUUAAGCUUUCUUCCAGUUGUAUGCUCAGCCCCCAUUUCUUGGUGAGCGGGUAGCAGAAAAUGGAAAGGGGAGACCUGGCUUUCCCACCUGUGUCCUGGCAAAGCACAUACACCCAGCCUCUAUUCAUUGAUAUAGGUGCCAUACCUAGAGCAGAAGGCCAAAGGCCUACUUAAGCUCACCCCAGAAAUAAUGCACCUGAAAGCAGCAAGGUUAUACCUACGAGGAACUUGUUUUGGGGAAGUGCUCAGGAAAAUGUCUUCCAAUGAUGCAGAUGACGGUGAAUGGCAGGGGUCCAUCAUUUCUCCCAAGCAACUAACUGGCUCUUCUGUCCACAAGGAACUAGACUCAAAACCAACCUGACAGUCCCCAAACCAUAGGCAUUCUGACCUCCAUAGACCACAUGUUUUCCCUCUCUUUUGCCAGGAAGUGUCAACAUCCUGUUUAGAUUGAAGAGAUGGGAUCUUCCUUUCUCAAGAAGCAGCAUGCUAAUGACAAUUCUUGUCCCAGGAGGAGUCUGGGAUAUUCCUAGGAGGUCGGCACUUUCUCUGCAACUGAGAGUUAGAGAAUUGGCCUAGACCACUGAGAAGGAUUAUAUAUUCUGAUCUGGAAAGUACCUGAGAGAAUUCUUAUAGUUCCAUUCUCUUUACUUUACAAAUGAGGAAACUAAGAUCCAGGAAGGUCAUUCCUUAUCCGAGUUCUAGCAGCUGGUAAGGAGUAAAACUGAGAUGCACACCCAUGCCCUCAUCCUAAAAUACCAUGUUCCUUCUCUAAAGAGUGAAAGAGAAAAUUUGCAAAAGAGAGGAAGAUGCAAAGGAAGGACAUCUGGAAGGAAAGCAAGAAGCAGCUCACAAGAGGGAAGGGCAGAAAGGAAGGGACGCAGAAUUCCAAACGGAACAAGAGCUGAGAGAACUGAGAAACUGCCACUUCAACUCUGACUCCUUCAGCUAAGAGCCUGACAAGAGGAUCUCAAAGGCUGGAGGUUUCCCUUUGGACACCAAUGGCUUCCCUGGAGAUCUUUUGCUAAUCUCAACACAGUAGAUUGGACUUUAGAAGAAGCCAUCUACUGAGGAAAUCCUCUCCAAGGAUUUUCUCCAUUUCUCUAUUCCCCAGUCUGUACUGAACUCCAACAAUAACCAAAUUAGCUCAGGAAUAGGGACAACCAGCAGCUGACCAGAAGAAGGAUCAAGACUUAGAACCUGGACCCCAUGAAAUUUGGGGGGUCAGUUUGUCAGUCUUUAGGGACUCCUGCUCCCCACUUUCCUUACUCAACCCUCCUAUUUCCUCUUCCCUGGGUGAUUUUCUAUUAAAGUGUUAUUAUAUAGAC